GUAGUACUCCCUCCGUUCGGAAUUACUUGUCACAAAAAUGGAUGUAUCUACAACUAAAAUAUAUCUAGAUACAUUCAUUUCUUGGACGAGUAAUUCCGAACGGAGGGAGUAUGUA
rnacentral:pre_miRNA from 1 species